rnacentral:lncRNA from 10 species
GGAAAUUCAGAGAAGGAAAAAUGUACUGAGCCUGAACAUGGAUGAGCAAAUUAUUAAAUUAUUAAAUGGGGUCAAAUAAUAAAACUGUCCUUAUAGAAUUUAGCAUGAUGUCUAUCAAUAAUUAUUACAAAGCAUUAGCUUAAAGAACAAUAGUUUUUAAAGGGCAGGAAAAUUCAGGUUGUUCACAAAACAGACAACAAAAGUAAAUUUGUGUAUUCCUUCAUUUCUGUGGGGGCAUAAACGUCUCAAAGUCUAUUUUGGAAUACCUGUGAGUUCCCUGAGGGCGAGGCUGUGUGUUAUUCUUCUUUGUGUUUCCAGGAUCCAAGUUGAACUCUAAAUUCAGAGGCAAAUCAGCAGCCUGUUUUAAUGGAAAACCCUAAGAUGCCAGUCCAUCAGGGGUGUUCAGAUAUCACUGGAAAUGCAGCAGAAUGGAAAAAAAAAAGUAUUUUCCUGAUCUACUCUUAGGAAGACCAUUGCAUUCUGUUUGAAAGGAUUUUUCAUAUGUCCUUGGUGUAGGCAGUGAGACCUCAAUGAGUAUGUUCAAGUGAUAAAAGAUGACUAACUAAUUGCCUUCUCAGGAGCAUGUUUUUUUUUAUUUAUGUAAUUUACUUUAUUUUAUUUUUUACCUGUAGGGCUUUAGUGUUCUUCAGCGAAAGGCACAAGUUUGCCAAAGAGCAGAGUAACAAAAGAGCAAAGAGCAAGCUAGAAGUGGGGUUUAAAUUCUAUCAACAGUAGCUCUCAUUUUCUUCCUUACAUAAGACUUAGUUUUCUCUCUAAAUAAAUAUUUAAAACUAUUCACACAACAUUUGUUAAAAGAGGCAGCAAAGUGUUAACCUCCUUGGGGCAGGCACCCACAUGAUUCAGCCUGGAUCUGUUUAUAAAUCACCAUCACAGGUGCUGCACGAUGAAUGCUACUUUUUUCCCAUCUUGACACAGAAUGUUCUUGCUAACAGGGAGAAAAGCCAGUACCUUUUCUCUAUCCAAACAUUUGAGAAUUAGGGGCUAGAUUUCGCAGAUUCUGUUGGAAAUUAUCAAUUUCAUCAAAAUUUCCUGAAACAUUCCUUUUUACCCUCUGAUAUGGUUUGGCUCUGUGUCCCCACCCAAAUCUCACCACGACUUGUAAUAAUCCCCACGUGUUGUGGGAGGGACUCAGUGGGAGGUAAUUGAAUUAUGGGGGUGGGUUUUCCCAUGUAUUCUUGUGAUAGUGAAUAAGACUCAUGAAAUUUGAUGGUUUUAUAAAAGCGCAGCUGCCCUGCACACCCCCUUGCCUGCUGCCACGUAAGACAUGUCUUGCUUCCCCUUUGCCUUCCAUCAUGAUUGUGAGGCCUCCCCAGCUAUGUGGAACUGUGAGUCAAUUAAACCUCUUUCCUGUAUAAAUUACCCAGUCUCAGUUAUGUCUUUAUUAGCAGUGUGAGAACAGACUGGGGCUGGGCACAGUGGCUCACACCUGUAAUCCCAGCACUUUAGGAGGCCAAGGCAGGUGAAUCACCUGAGGUCAGGGGUUCGAGACCAGCCUGGCCAACAUGGUGAAACCCUGUCUCUACUAAAAAUACAAAAAUUAGCCAGGCCUAGUGGCGGGUGCCUGUAAUCCCAGCUACUCGGGAGGCUGAGGCAGGAGAAUUGCUUGAGCCCAGGAGGCAGAAGUUCCAGUGAGCCGAGAUUGCACCAUUGCACCCAGCCUGGGUGACAAGAAUGAAACUCCAUCUCAAAAAACAAACAAAAAAAAAAAAAAAAGAGAAAGAAACAAGGAAGGAAAGAAAGAAAGAACAGAGUAAUAGAGCAAAUUGGUAAUGGGAAAUGGGGCAUUGCUGUAAAAAUAACUGAAAAUUUGGAAGCCACUGUGGAACCAGGUAAUAGGCAGAGGUUGGAACAGUUUGGAGGGCUUGGAAGAAGACAGGAAGAUGUGGGAAAGUUUGGAACUUCCUAGAGACUUUUUAAAUGGCUUUGACCAAAUGCUGCUCAUCUCAGAUUGAGAUGAGGAACCUGUUGGGACUGGAAUAAAGGUGACUAUUGCUAUGUUUUAGCAGACAGGCUGGCAGCAUUUUGCCCCUGCCCUAGAGAUCUGUGAAACUUUGACUUGAGAGAAAUGACUUAGGGUAUCUGGCAGAAGAAAUUUCUAAGCAACAAAACAUUCAAGAGGUGACUUGGGGGGUAUUAAAAGCAUUCAGCUUUAUGUAUUCACAAAGAUAUGGUUUGAAGUUGGAGCUUAUGUAUAAAAGGGAAGCAAAGCAUAAAAUUUCAGAAAAUUUGCAGCAGAGUUAUGUGGUAGAAAAGAAAAACCCAUUUUUCUGAGGAGAAAUACGAGCUGGCUGCAUACAUUUACAUAAGUAACAAGGAGCCAAAUGUUAAUCACCAAGACAAUGGGGAAAAUAUCUCCAGGGCAUGUCGGAGGGCUUCACAGAGGCCCCUCCCAUCACAGUCCUGGAGGCCUAGGAGGAAAAUGGCCUUGCUCCUUUGGGCAGUCUUGGGAUUUGGUGCUCUGGCUUAAAGGGCCAAGGUACAGCUUGGGCCAUGUCUUCAAAGGGUGAAAGCUCCAAGCCUUGGCAGCUUCCAUGUGAUGUUGAGCCUGCAGGUGCACAGAAGUCAAGAAUUGGGGUUUGGGGCCGGGCGUGGUGGCUCAUGCCUGUAAUUCCAGCACUUUGGGAGGCCGAGGCAGGCAGAUCAUUAGGUCAGGAGAAUGGCAUGAACCCGGGAGGCGGAGCUUGCAGUGAGCUGAGAUCGUGCCACUGUACUCCAUCCUGGGUGACAGAGUGAGACUCUGUCUCAAAAAAAAAAAAAGAAAAGAAAAGAAAAGAAAAGAAUUGGGGUUUGGGAACCUCCACCUAGAUUUCAGAGGAUGUAUGGUAAUGCAUGGAUGUCCAGGCAGAGGUGUGCUUAAGGGGUGGAGCCCUCCUGGAGAACCUCUGCUAGGGCAGUACAGAAGGAAAAUGUGAGGUAGGAACCCCCACAUAGAGUCUCCACUGGGGCACUGCCUAGUGGAGCUGUGAGAAGAGGGCCACUGUCCUCCAGACCCCAGAAUGGUAGAUCCACUGACAACUUAUACCAUGCACCUGGAAAAGCUGUAGACACUCAAUAUCAGCCUGUGAAAGUAGCCACAGGGUCAGAGCUGCCCAAGACCACAAGACCAUGGGAACCCACCUCAUUCAUCAGCAUGACCUGGAUGUGAGACAUGGAGUCAAAGUAGAUUGUUUUGGAGCUUUAAGAUUUGACUGCCCCACUGGAUUUCAGACUUGCAUCAUGCCCAUAGCCCCUUCAUUUUGGCCAAUUUCUGGAAUGGGUGUAUUUACCCAAUCCUUGUACCCCCAUUGUAUCUAGGAUGUAACUAAUUUGCUUUUGAUUUUACAGGCUCAUGGGCAGAAGUGACUUGCCUUGUUUCAGAUGAGACUUUGGACCAUGAACUUUUGAGUUAAUGCUGAACAGCUCCACCUUGCAGAGAUGCUGUCAAAUAUGCACAAGCUCUUAUAUUAUCAGUGUCUUCCCAAGAUGAAGCCAAGUCCUGAUGAGCUGAAGCUAAGAGUUCUUUUCAUCUUGACAUACUGGCAGCCAGCUAACCCAACCAUGGCCCUAUUUUCUCCAACCAUUACUAAACAUGUGGAUGUGAUGGUGGAGCUGGAAUAGCUGUGACUUGGGGAAUGGAGGCCACAAAUGGCACAGCAACAGGAAGAAAGAAGCCUUGAUCUUUGAUAAGUUGAGUAUUCUAACUCAUUUGGAAUGCUUAUGUUUAGACUCCUAUUUAAAAGAUAAAUAAAUAUCGAUCUGUUAUUGGAUUUUUUGUCCCUGACCACCAAACCUAAUCAUAACUGACAUAGUCAAUGCUGCUUUUACUCUACUGGUAAAGCCAGUGAUCCUUUGAAACUCAUGUUAUUUGCCUAAAUCAUCUUCAACCACGCCUCAUUGCUGAUCUUUGCUGACCUUUUUUAUGCCCACUAAUCCUUUGAAGACCUCAGUAUCUUCAAUAUCCAUAUCCAUUUAGAAAAUAUAUUGAUUACAUUGGCUUCUCAAUUUUUAUUCUUCUUAAUUCCUUCAAUGUUUUCCAUUUGUAUCAAUCAGGAUACAAUUAGCUAUGUGACUAACAAACAACCCCCAAAUUUCAGUUGCUUAUAGUAUCAAAGGUUUAUUUUUUGUUCCUGUUGCAGGGCAUUCAUGUGUUUUCUUCACUCCAGUGCCCAUGCUGACUUUGCCUCUAAUUGGGAUAUUGCUACUCUUGUGGGAGAG